GCCGGCAGCCACGCGUCCGACCCCCCGGCCCGACCCUGUCCUCUCCCGCGCCCGCCUCCCCUCCGCAGAUCCUUGCUGGGGACCCCGGCGGAGACGCCCUCCAGGCGCGGCGCGCUCCCCGGAGAACGGCUGGUCCGGCUCCGCGGCCCCUCCCCACCUCCCCGCCUCCCCGGGCCUCGGGCUGGGUCGAGUCGGCUCCGGGGUAACGCGGCUCCCUGCGCCUCCUCUGCGCCCGGAGCGGCCCCGGUCCCUGGUAGCGGCGGAGGAGGUGGGGUCCCUGCGCCGAGGGACGUCUGUCCGCGUGUGCGCCCGAGCGUGUGCCCCGCGUGUUUGCAGGAGUGCGCGCGCCUGAGGCUGUCUGGGCGCCUGCACUUCAGGUGUCAAAUCCACUGACGUCGGGGUCUCGGCAUCUCCCUUUCUCCGCUGCGCCCAGAAACUUCCUUUCCGGGGAAUGUGGAGGCUCCUUCACGCUUCUCCCCAGGGGCGUGAGGCCCCGGCGCGCUGCUGCUGCUGUGCGCGCGCGUCUGUGCCUGCGUGCGCGCGUGUUUGUGUGUGCUUGUGUUUGUGUGUCCAUGUGUGGGCGGUGUGUGUGCGCGUGCGUUUGUGGGUGCAUGUGUGGGUGCGUAUUUGUGUGUGGAUGCAUGUGUGCGCGCGUGUGUAUUUGUGUGUGGGCGCGUGUGUGUGCGCGCGUUUGUGUGUGUGCAUGUGUGCGUGUGUGCUGGUGGGGCGUUCUGGCUGAGGGCUCCCGCGGGGCGGGGAGACCCCGGACCCAUCGGCACCACGUCCCUUUCCACUGAGAAGUGGCGGGCGAGCUGGUGGCGACCAGGGCCUGCGAGGCUGCGGUUUUUCUCUGGGCUUCAGCAGCUUCUGAAGUGGGCUCCCGGAGGCGUUUCCGGAGAGGAGGCUGUGUCUGGACUUCUGGUUUAUCUGGAGGGAUCUGCUUUUCCCUGGUUGUUUUAUCUUGGGAGAGUGAUGUGGAAGUCCUCCCCCUCCCCCAGAGCAAGACCGUUUCCUGGAGUGACUGUUCCAUAUUCAUGCCAUGAGUGUGCUGGACCACAGCGCGGUUCAGGCUGGAGAGGCUUCCAGGGCCUGCAGUGUCGCGGUCCCCACGGUCCUUCUCCCCCACUGAGCCGCACUUCGCAGCCGGCCUCUUCCCGUGUGAAGAGGCCUCCGGGAACGGGCUGAGUGUCAGUUGUUGAUGACAUUUGAUGCUGCCGGAGGCAUUCCAGCUCCCCUAAACCAGCGGGCUGUUUCCUGUCGGCUUUAUUUUGGUUUGCGGAUCAUCGCUGAGACACUGUCUUGAUAUUUGGCCCAGAAGCGCUGCAGCUAGGAUGUGGCAGCACUUCCGCUUUGAGUAGUCCAGAGAGGAGGGAUUUCUUUUGUUAAUGUGGUUUAAAUCCGCUGUCACUUUCAUACAAGAAAGCCAGAGCUGGCGCUCCCUGAAGUGCCUGAGGUCGCCUUGCCUGGGUGGGGAAAGGUCGCGGCCCGUGGGGGUCAGUUUGCUGCUCUUUCCUUCAGCCAAGGCUGCUUGGCUCAGCCAGCGAGUCUGAGGAGUGUGAGAAGCACUGGGCUUCCUCAGUCACGGGGGCAGGAGGGCUGGAGGUGGGUGCCCCUGUGGGGCAGUGCCAGGUCUCCAGGCAGCAGGCAGAGGCGGCCUGGGGCUUUGCGGCUCGGGGGUGGGGGGCCCACAGCCGGCACAGCAUGCUCGCUGUGUACUCCAGGAAGGGCUACACUUCAGGCCACGGCAGGACUUUACAGAAGGCAUGGGAAGUAGAACAGGAGGGCGAGGGAAGACCAGAGUCUCAGACCAGAUACUCAGACCCUGAGUCUCCCAGAAGGCAGCUUCACCGGCCUGCGGGCACUCGGCCCCACUUCCGACAGGCGUGGGGGUCAGGCACCCUGGAGGAUCCCUCGGAGAGAAGGAGGUUUGGAGAUGCCACAACUUGGUCAGGCUCUGUGCUCCACUUUAAACAAGCCAGUGAAACCCUGGCUCAGCUGAGGCUUAGGCUGCUAAUCCCACGUGGGGCCUGGAUAUCAUCUGAACCUUUGACCCUCCCAGGGGCAGCAGCAGUGAGGACGGGUAGAGAGGCCCAAAUGCCAGCUGCCCGACUCUCUGGAUGUGGCUCCAGCAAGAAGUCCCCGUUUCCUCUCCCCUCCAGAGGUCACCUGCAGGGCUGGCUGCCUGAGGGGUAUCUGUGCCCCAAGUAGCUGGGGAGACAGGGCACCUCCUGCAUUUGAGCAGAGAUGCAGUCUGGGCUGGAGACCCUGAGGGUGACCUGUGGGUGCGCUGGUUUGGGGUUAGUCUCAUGUAACUGUGCUGCUGGCCUGAUACCCCGGGGCUCCAGCAGAAAGCCCAUCUGUAGAAGCGAAGUGGAGGAUGACCCUGAGCGGCGCUGGUGCCAGGGGGCCACUGAGCCCCUCAGGCUCUUUCUUUAAUCCACAUUCAUGGCCAACCUUGGCUCUGACUUGCCCUGCCUGAGUCCCUGGUCUUGAAGGCUCAGACAAGAUGGUGCCCCUGUGGUUGAUUUGAGGGCCCCUCGCUGUCAUUCACCUCUGAGCCUUGUCUCCAGGAGCGCUGGAUUUGCCCAUGAGUCUGCCAGUGACUUGCUGCAUGACCCAGGGCCCGUGUCUUCCCCUUCAUAACCUCAUUUUUCCGUUUGCAAAAGCCAGGCAAUUAUUGUCUACUACAUCCGGUGGGAACGUACAAGGCAGUGUUGUUCAGGGUUAAGUUAACACCCUGCCCCCUCACUCCCAGAACAAGAAUUGUCCCUAAAGUUAUACCAUAAGCAAUUCUGCUACUACUCUUACUAAGAAAAAAAGCCAGCACAUUUCUGGGGGGAUUGGGAGCUUUUUUUAAGGUAUAGGGGCAUUGGCCAUUUAAAUUCUUAAAUAGCUUUGAAAUGUGUGGUGGUGUGUGGCCUCAUUCAGACGUUGACAUUGGGAAAAAUGGAAAGAAUCUCUUCCUCCUUUCCCCCUUCCUCUUUCUUUGUCCUUCCAGCUCUUGCAGGUGAGGUAAUAAGAGGAGAGCGCCACGUAGAAGUGAGGUGCUUUGGUGGUAACAAUUUGGAGUCUUUGUCUUGAAGAAUCUGGCUUUCUGCAUUUCAGUUUUGUGGAAUCAUUUUGGAUAUGUCCUUCUGUGCACUUAAACAUCUUAAACACUGUGUCUUUUGAAACAGUCAUUAACCUUUCACAGUAGAGUCUGUGUAUCAUGCAUGACUGAGCCACACUUCCUAUGCGAUCGCUGCUUUGAGGAAGCCUGUGCUUCGGACUUUCCAUGAGUCAGGGACCCACAGGGAGGGCACUUCCGCCACGGCCACGGCGUUGUUUUGGGGCCCCCGCCCCCAAGGCGUGCAGUGCCUCCUCCCCUCGCAGUGAUGUCUUCCGUUUCCACAAUACUUACUGCUUGUUUUUAAAUGUGGCGCCUUAUCUUGAUACAUGUGUUCAAUAAAGAGCAACACACAAGGUGUUUCUCUCAAUCUGUUACAGAAAAAAAAAAAGCCAGCCCCGCGGUCCAGGGCGGGAAAGGCUCUCGCACCGCGGUGACCCUGCCGUCGAGCUGGAGGCGGUCAGCGUCCGGGAAUGCCGUCCGUGGGAGGCCGGGCCUGCCGUGGGCUCCCCGCUGGGGCUUCCUGUGGCUCUCUGGUCGCUCCCUUCUUUCUCCUCUGGGCUCAGUGCCUGUGGCUCCGCUGGGCUCUUGCUCCCUUCCUGUGAGGCUGGAGCUUGUCCGUGAAGAAGACCCACGGCCGGUCUGGCCCAACAUUGAACCGCUGGUGCCUGCAGGCCUGUGGGGCAGUGAGGGCCAGGGGCUGCCGGCCUCCAGCCCCAGCUAUCCCUCUCCUGAUCACAAACAGAAUCCCACCUGAAGCAGGAGGAGGUGGCACCGGGUGAGAAUAGGGAGAAUGACAAGUGGGGUGCCUGGAGGGUCCCCUGGACUGUGCCUCCCUGGCCCCAGCUCCUGGGCUAGAAGGUAAGGGCUCCGGGCCCAGCUCUGCUAGAAGUGGCAGCUGACACUCUCAGCCUGAUGGACUCCCUCACGGGAGGUGGAGGCCGCUGGUCACAGGGCUGUUACAGGCAUCAAAUUAGGUGAUGGUCUGUUUAAUAAGAGAAAGUAGCAACAGUGUCUUCAGAGGGCUAGGGCUCACUCAGGUAAGAGAAGUGUUUUGUGAAGGUGAGGGAGGGAUACUGGCCACGCCGUGGCUUUCCCCGUGUCUGUCUGACAGUGUAAGGAGGGGCUGUGUGGCCACACAUGGGCCUUGGCAUCAGAGAUCCUAGAUUCCCCUAAUGCUAAAAUUAACUUGGAUAUUUUAUUAACCGAGCUCAGCUAAGCUGCCUGUGCUAUUUUUAACCCCUGAGGACGAAGGUGCAGGGCCUGGCUGCACCUGGGAAACAGCAGGGGCUCCGGCAGGGGCAGGUUCAGCCUGGGGCCCGGGCCUUGCCUGGAAAGGGGAGUGGGUUUCUUGUGCGUGUGUGGGUGUGGAGGCUGGAUGCAGAUGCUAAGGGCGUCGUUUCCAUGUAUUAUCUCAUUUUAUCUAAACUCUGGAAACUCCACGGCACUGAGGUGGAGAAAGGGAGACCCACGGAUUUAUCUGGGCCCAAGCACCCCAGCUCCACGGGCUCCUGGGAUCCGAGUUCUUCUCCUCACCACUUAGUAUUGUCCAUUAAUUUUUUUUUCUUUGAGACUGGGCCUCACUGUGUUGCCCAGGCUGGUCUCCAACUCUCCAACUCCAGGACUCAAGGGAUCUUCCUGCUUCAACUUCCUGAGUAGCUGGGACACAGGUGCUCACCACUGCAGCCUGCCUGUCAGUUUGGAGAGCUGUUUCUUCUCUGUGAUCUUGGAUUGGAAUGGGGGGAAUCAUGGAGGGCUGGAGAACAGAGAGACUUGUUGGUGACCUUAGGGACACGAGGCAGGCAGUGUUCAGGCAGGGAAGGAAGGAAGGGGCUGCUGGUCUGUGUGGGUGGACAGUGGCCUGGGAGGCCCAAGACACAGGGUGUGCUGGGAAGACAGUUUGGAGAUGCAGAGGUGAUCCUUUAAGCAGGGCCACAGCCACCCAUCCAGCCUUCAGGUGUGUGAGCAAAUGGUGCCUGGCAGGUGGACUCAGCCAGGGUGCUGGACUGGUGGGCAGAGUGUGGACCCCGGAGGCAGCCCUGGGGGCGUCAUUCCUGGAAGGGAAUCUGGCAUUGGUGGAAAACACUUUGACUUGCUUCUUUGGAGCUAAUGGAAGCAAAUGAGGCAUUUGGAGCUAAGGAGCGUGUGAACCGCGCAGGCGCAGAGUGGAUGAGCGGCGUCUCCCUGAGGCUGUGGCACCGUGUUUGCAGGUGGCGCGUCAUGUUUUAAACAUAGACGUGUGUGUGUUUAGAAAGGAGGUGGACGUAUUGGCUGGAAACAGCCACAAGCAAAGUGAUGGCUGCUAAGGUUUUGAAAGUGAAGGCUGCUGAGCGAUGGUGGGAGGGGCUUGGUGAGGAGGAGAGCUCCUGGGGGCCCUCGGGGGAGACGUGGACGUAGCGAACCCACUUGGAAUCAGACACCCGAGACUGCGUGCUGGCCACGUUUCUUGACAAUUCUUUGAUUUUAGAUGACCCCUAACCUCUCUCUGCCUUGGUUUCUUGGUUUGUGAAAGUGGAGGCCAAGGCCUUCUUUUGCAGAGAUUAAUGGGACUUAGAUGCACCAGGCACUUCCCCCGCUCAGAUCUUCAUAGAUGGGAGGUAUUAUUCUAGCAGAAUUUGAAGCUAUCUGUUCGUCUGUAAUGAACUGGACUUCUAUGUAAGCAAAUAUAUAAUUUGAAAAAGAGCUACACUUUAAUAAGUAGGAGGGUGUUGAGAUCCGGGAGAGCUCACACUCUGGAGAGGUGGCUUUUGUUUUUGGUUUUGGCUGUCAUCUGGGUGUCUGGGAGGGAUGGCUUUCAACUUGCUCCUGAAGAGAGAGGUGGCUUUGGUUUUGGCUGUCAUCUUGGAGGGGGUCUGGGAGGGGUAGCUUUGAACUUGCCCCUGAAGAGAGAGUGAGGUCUCAGGAAGGGAAGGAAUCAUUUGGGUUGGGCUGGUGUUAUGAGAUGCACGGCCUGGCCUUUGAGGGGCCCAGAUAAGUUAGCUGGAGGGGCCAGUGGGACGUGUGGAUGGGCCUCUGGCCGAUGGGUUGACAGAAGGGGCCACACGGGGUCCCGUGGGGAUGUGGUGUCAUGCCCCGCAGGUGCCGGUACCUCUGGAGGGUGCGAGGUUGGACAGCAGGUGCCGGUACCUCUGGAGGGUGCGAGGUUGGACAGCAGGUGCCGGUACCUCUGGAGGGUGCGAGGUUGGACAGCAGGUGCCGGUACCUCUGGAGGGUGCGAGGUUGGGCAGCAGGUGCCGGUACCUCUGGAGGGUGCGAGGUUGGGCAGCAGGUGCCGGUACCUCUGGAGGGUGCGAGGUUGGGCAGCAGGUGCCGGUACCUCUGGAGGGUGCGAGGUUGGGCAGCAGGUGCCGGUACCUCUGGAGGGUGCGAGGUUGGGCAGCAGGUGCCGGUACCUCUGGAGGGUGCGAGGUUGGACAGCCGUUGUGGAACUGUGGUGGGGGUCGGGGAGGCAGCUCACUGAGCGCGUCUCGUCUUACGCAGCCGCGGGUCAGAGCAGGGGUCUGUGUUCACGCAGGAAAGGAGGGGCUUGCCGUGCAACCAGAGCUUCUAGCUUUGAACCAUAGGUGAAGGCGAUGAACAGACGUGUCUACUGCAGCAGCACCUGUGGCCAGUGGCUGAGUGAGCAAAUAGCAAACAGUAGAAGCAAUGUUGAGGAGUUGGGGUCUCCCCACCAAUCUCCUGUCGAACUGUCACCCCGUCGUUGGAAGUGGGGCCUGGUGGGAAGCGACUGGAUCUUGAGGGUGGAUUUAUAUGAACAGCUCAGCGCUAUCCCCUUGGUGCUGUUCUCACGAUAGUGAGUGAGUUCUCGUGAGAUCCGGUGGCACACCUCCCACCUCGCGCUCUUGCCCCCGCUCUCGCCGUGUGAGACACCUGCUCCCCCUUCACCUUCUGCCAUGACUGGAAGCUUCCCGAGGCCUCCCCAGAAGCAGAUGCCUCCAUACUUCCUGUACGGCUUGCAGCACCGUGACCAAUAAACCUCGUUUAUUUUGAAUUA